GGAUUAGGCAUGCAAGUCGAACGGGACUUUUUUCUGUAGCAAUACAGGAAAAAGUCUAGUGGCGAACGGGUGCGUAACACGUGAGCAACCUGCCGUGAAGUGGGGGAUAGCUCGCCGAAAGGCGAAUUAAUACCGCAUGUGGCCAAGGAAGACAUCUUCCUGACGCCAAAGCCGGGGCAACCUGGCGCUUCUCGAGGGGCUCGCGGCCUAUCAGCUUGUUGGUGAGGUAACGGCUCACCAAGGCUAUGACGGGUAGCUGGUCUGAGAGGACGACCAGCCACACUGGAACUGAGACACGGUCCAGACACCUACGGGUGGCAGCAGUCGAGAAUUUUUCACAAUGGGGGAAACCCUGAUGGAGCGACGCCGCGUGGAGGAUGAAGGUUUUCGGAUUGUAAACUCCUGUCAUUAGAGAACAAGGCACACGGUUUAACUGGCCGUGUGUUGAUAGUAUCUGAAGAGGAAGAGACGGCUAACUCUGUGCCAGCAGCCGCGGUAAUACAGAGGUCUCAAGCGUUGUUCGGAUUCAUUGGGCGUAAAGGGUGCGUAGGUGGCGAUGUAAGUCGGAUGUGAAAUCUCCAAGCUUAACUUGGAAACUGCAUUCGAUACUGCGUUGCUAGAGGACUGUAGAGGGCAUUGGAAUUCACGGUGUAGCAGUGAAAUGCGUAGAUAUCGUGAGGAAGACCAGUGGCGAAGGCGAAUGCCUGGGCAGUUCCUGACACUGAGGCACGAAGGCCAGGGGAGCAAACGGGAUUAGAUACCCCGGUAGUCCUGGCAGUAAACGGUGCACGUUUGGUGUGGGAGGAUUCGACCCCUUCCGUGCCGGAGCAAACGCGUUAAACGUGCCGCCUGGGGAGUACGGUCGCAAGAUUAAAACUCAAGAAAUUGACGGGGACCCGCACAAGCGGUGGAGUAUGUGGCUUAAUUCGAUGCAACGCGAAGAACCUUACCUGGCCUUGACAUGCAUCUCUAAUCCGGUGAAAGCCGGUGAGUGUAGCAAUACACAAUUUGCACAGGUGCUGCAUGGCUGUCGUCAGCUCGUGUCGUGAGAUGUUGGGUUAAGUCCCGCAACGAGCGCAACCCCUGUGAACUGUUGCCAUGGAGACGUGAGUCUCCGGCACUCUGUUCAGACUGCCCUGUUCAACGGGGAGGAAGGUGGGGACGACGUCAAGUCAGUAUGGCCCUUACGGCCAGGGCUGCACACGUACUACAAUGCCCGAAACAGAAGGAUCCGAGACCGCGAGGUGGAGGAAAUCACUAAAUUCGGGCCCAGUUCGGAUUGGAGGCUGCAACUCGCCUCCAUGAAGCCGGAAUCGCUAGUAAUGGCGCAUCAGCUACGGCGCCGUGAAUACGUUCCCGGGUCUUGUACACACCGCCCG
rnacentral:rRNA from 1 species